rnacentral:lncRNA from 1 species
CCCUUUUGGGCCAACCUCUGGACUUUUCUCCUCCAACUCAUCCCCUCUCUGAAAUUGGAACCGCCUCCCUCCAGCUUUGAGAACCACAUGAAAAUGAAAAUUUCAAAUUCAGAAUUCCCCAGUGACACAGAUACCCAGGAUGACUUAGAUGGGGAAACUGAGGCACUGAGCAAGAACGUGACAUCCUUGGUCACAUGGCAAGAUGGAGACAAAGCUAGGGCCAAAGCCAUGUCUCCAAGAGCCUCAGCCCUGUGCUUUUUCCUCCUGUAGUAUGCUGCCUUCAGAAGUCAAAUAUAGAGCCCAGGAAGACAUAUCUUUCAUAUCAAAUCUGUCAAUAAAAUGCUGCAUUUAUAAAAAUAUCAUUUGAACCCUGAAAAAUACUUCAUUAAAACACAACGAGCUUCCUUGAAAAUACUCCAGAGCAAAGUUUCCCAGGUUUGGGGGA